rnacentral:rRNA from 1 species
CCUACGGGAGGCAGCAGUGAGGAAUAUUGGUCAAUGGACGAGAGUCUGAACCAGCCAAGUAGCGUGAAGGAUGACUGCCCUAUGGGUUGUAAACUUCUUUUAUAUGGGAAUAAAACGUUCCACGUGUGGGAUUUUGUAUGUACCAUAUGAAUAAGGAUCGGCUAACUCCGUGCCAGCAGCCGCGGUAAUACGGAGGAUCCGAGCGUUAUCCGGAUUUAUUGGGUUUAAAGGGAGCGUAGGUGGAUUGUUAAGUCAGUUGUGAAAGUUUGCGGCUCAACCGUAAAAUUGCAGUUGAAACUGGCAGUCUUGAGUACAGUAGAGGUGGGCGGAAGUCGUGGUGUAGCGGUGAAAUGCUUAGAUAGCACGAAGAACUCCGAUUGCGAAGGCAGUUCACUGGACUGCAACUGACACUGAGGCUCGAAAGUGUGGGUAUCAAACAGGAUUAGAUACCCGGGUAGUC